rnacentral:rRNA from 1 species
UACGGAGGGAGCUAGCGUUGUUCGGAAUUACUGGGCGUAAAGCGCACGUAGGCGGCUUUGUAAGUCAGAGGUGAAAGCCUGGAGCUCAACUCCAGAACUGCCUUUGAGACUGCAUCGCUUGAAUCCAGGAGAGGUGAGUGGAAUUCCGAGUGUAGAGGUGAAAUUCGUAGAUAUUCGGAAGAACACCAGUGGCGAAGGCGGCUCACUGGACUGGUAUUGACGCUGAGGCGCGAAAGCUAGGGGAGCAAACGGG